CCCGCUGCCCGGCCCGGCCCGCCUCGCCCACCGAGUCUCGAAGCCCACACUCACCCCAUUACCCGCGAAACGCUGCCGGAGCCGGCGGCUGGUCGGGAGUCGGGGAUGGUAGAUCCCCCUCCAGGCGCCUAGCUGACAUUUUGUCCCGGACGGAAAACCUCCGCGCUUCGCACUUAAAGACACAGCGCUCCAUUCACACGUCUGCGGGGAAAGGGGGGCCGUCACUUGUGGCCUUCACCCGAAAGUGGUAGGGGAGUCGCUCUGAAACCACCAAGGUCCGCGAGCGACAGACUUGUGUUGGCCAGGGUUUAAAGAUGACGCAAUAGCUGAGUGUGGUUGAAAUGUAACUAUUGUUUUAUAACUUUGCAUUAACCUUCCAAGACCUGGAUUCCCGGGCCUGAGUCUCAGAGCGCGGUUUGCAUCCUUGCAGGCUGCAGGCACAUGAUGUCACAAGUUAUUAAAAGAAAUCCCUCCAACCUAGGUCUGGACAGAUGAAGGCGGCGCUUGUUGGUGUUCACCAAAACACCAGCAUGGUGUACCAGCUUUGGCUAGAUUAUACUCAGAACACCAGAGACUGGGUAAUUAAUGAAAAGAGGAAAUUUAUCUAGCCUACAGUUCUGGAAUCUUGGAAGUCCGAGAUCAAGGGACUGCAUCUAGGUUCUAGGAUGCCUCAUAAAGGCCCAUAGUGUACUUUCUGUCUACUUCACUUAGCUCCACAUUGGCGAUUUCUGUUAACACGCAUGCAGUUGAAUGGAUGGCCAGAAUCGAAGCUAUCUGCUGUGAGACACAAUGAGAAAUGCUUUUGUGUAAAGGCAGGACUCAAUGAUCACCCAGUCCACAGGACGCAGCAAAAAGGCACCGUCUUGGAAGUAGAGACCAGCUCUCACCAGACACUGAAUCUGCUGGCUCCCUGAUCUUGGACUUCCCAGGGUCCAGAACUCUGAGAAAUAAAUUUCUAUUGUUUCCCAAGUACUCAGUCUGUUGUAUUUUGUUAUAGCAGCAGGAAUGGACUGAGAGAAAAGCAGCUAGUUGAGGAUUUGGGAAUUUGGGUGUUUAUUUGGUUUUUGGUUUUGGUUUAAGUGAACCUUUUUGCAACACAUUGUAGACAUUUUAUGUCUAAUAAAAUGCUUCCAUUUAAAAUAUGCUUUUGAGUAGGCUUUAGAAAAUGUAUACAACCACGUAAGCAUCUUAAUCAAGACACAGAAAGUUUUUGUAACCCUCAAAAGUUCCCUUGUGUCCUGUUGCAAUAAAUCUCCCCUUCUCCCCACCCCCAAGUGAUUCCUAAUCUGCUUUCUAUCACUAUAGAAAAGUUUGCAUUUUCUAGAAUUUUGUAUAGAGUGAAUGGAUCAGGCUUUCAUUUAUCAAAAUGCUUUUGAGAUUCAUCCAUAUUGUUGCAUGUAUCGGUGGAUUCUUCCUUUUCCUUGCUAAGCUUCAUUCCAUUAUAUAGAUAUACUGCAAUUUGUUGAUCAAUUCUCCGUUAGUGGACAUUUGGAUUGUUGCUAGUUUUGGUGUAUUUUGUAUAAACGGACAGUUCCUGACUUAUGAUGGUUCAACUUUCAGAUAUUGUGAAAGCAAUACACAUUCAGUAGAAUUCAUACUUCAAGUACCCGUUCAACCAUUCUAUUUUUCACUUUCAGUACACUAUUUAAUAAAUUAUGUGAGAUAUUCAACACUUUAUUAUAAAA